rnacentral:tRNA from 1 species
GGAGGCGUCGCAUAGUGGCCCAGUGCACAGGUUUGCUAAACCUGCGAGUAGAAAUACUCUCAUGGGUUCGAAUCCCAUCGCCUCCG